GACAGAGGACCCGAGCGUUAGUCGGAAUCACUGGGCUUAAAGGGUGCGUAGGCGGACCUUCAAGUGUCCCGUGAAAUCCCACCGCUCAACGGUGGAACUGCGGGACAUACUGCUGGUCUCGAGGAAGGUAGAGGCGGGCAGAACGAUAGGUGGAGCGGUGGAAUGCGUAGAGAUCUAUCGGAAUGCCAAAGGUGAAGACAGCCCGCUGGGCCUUUCCUGACGCUGAGGCACGAAAGCGUGGGGAGCAAACAGG
rnacentral:rRNA from 1 species